rnacentral:rRNA from 1 species
ACGAACGCUGGCGGCGUGCUUCACCCCUGCAAGUCGAACGGAAAGGCCCUGCUUUUGUGGGGUGCUCGAGUGGCGAACGGGUGAGUAACACGUGAGUAACCUGCCCUUGACUUUGGGAUAACUUCAGGAAACUGGGGCUAAUACCGGAUAUGAGCUCCUGCUGCAUGGUGGGGGUUGGAAAGUUUCGGCGGUUGGGGAUGGACUCGCGGCUUAUCAGCUUGUUGGUGGGGUAGUGGCUUACCAAGGCUUUGACGGGUAGCCGGCCUGAGAGGGUGACCGGCCACAUUGGGACUGAGAUACGGCCCAGACUCCUACGGGAGGCAGCAGUGGGGAAUAUUGCACAAUGGGCGGAAGCCUGAUGCAGCAACGCCGCGUGCGGGAUGACGGCCUUCGGGUUGUAAACCGCUUUCGCCUGUGACGAAGCGUGAGUGACGGUAAUGGGUAAAGAAGCACCGGCUAACUACGUG